GACGAACGCUGGCGGCGUGCUUAACACAUGCAAGUCGAGCGGAAAGGCCCUUUCGGGGGUACUCGAGCGGCGAACGGGUGAGUAACACGUGAGUAAUCUGCCCUUGGCUUUGGGAUAACCACCGGAAACGGUGGCUAAUACCGGAUAUGACGGGCUCCGGCAUCGGGGUUCGUGGAAAGUUUUUCGGCCAGGGAUGUGCUCGCGGCCUAUCAGCUUGUUGGUGGGGUAAUGGCCUACCAAGGCUUCGACGGGUAGCCGGCCUGAGAGGGUGACCGGCCACACUGGGACUGAGACACGGCCCAGACUCCUACGGGAGGCAGCAGUGGGGAAUAUUGGACAAUGGGCGGAAGCCUGAUCCAGCAACGCCGCGUGAGGGAUGACGGCCUCGGUUGUAACGUACUUACUAGUACCGACGAAGACGCCGA
rnacentral:rRNA from 1 species